UACGUAGGGACCGAGCGUUGUCCGGAUUCAUUGGGCGUAAAGAGCUCGUAGGCGGCCACUCAAGUCGAAUGUGAAACCUCGAGGCUUAACCUCGAGCCUGCAUUCGAUACUGGGCGGCUAGAGUCUGGUAGGGGGAUCUGGAAUUCCUGGUGUAGCGGUGGAAUGCGGCAGAUAUCAGGAGGAACACCGGUGGCGAAGGCGGGAUCCUGGACCGAUAUUGACGCUGAUGCGCGAAAGCCAGGGGAGCAAACGGG
rnacentral:rRNA from 1 species